rnacentral:tRNA from 1 species
GCUCAAUGGUAGAGCACGUGCUUAACAAUCACAAGGCCCUGGAUUCAAAUCCCAG